AGUGAACGCUGGCGGCAGGCCUAACACAUGCAAGUCGAGCGGCAGCGCGGGGGCAACCCUGGCGGCGAGCGGCGGACGGGUGAGGAAUUCGUCGGAAUCUGCCUUUUUGUGGGGGAUAACGUAGGGAGACUUACGCUAAUACCGCAUACGUCCUACGGGAGAAAGUGGGGGACCGCAAGGCCUCACGCAGAAAGAUGAGCCGACGACCGAUUAGCUAGUUGGUGGGGUAAAGGCCCACCAAGGCGACGAUCGGUAGCUGGUCUGAGAGGAUGAUCAGCCACACUAGGACUGAGACACGGCCCAGACUCCUACGGGAGGCAGCAGUGGGGAAUAUUGGACAAUGGGCGCAAGCCUGAUCCAGCCAUGCCGCGUGUGUGAAGAAGGCCUUCGGGUUGUAAAGCACUUUUGUCCGGAAAGAAAUCCCUGGAGCUAAUACCUUCGGGGGAUGACGGUACCGGAAGAAUAAGCACCGGCUAACUUCGUG
rnacentral:rRNA from 1 species